CAGUAGCCGCGGUAACACGUAGGGCGCAAGCGUUAUCCGGAAUUAUUGGGCGUAAAGAGCUCGUAGGCGGUUUGUCGCGUCUGCCGUGAAAGUCCGGGGCUCAACCCCGGAUCUGCGGUGGGUACGGGCAGACUAGAGUGAUGUAGGGGAGACUGGAAUUCCUGGUGUAGCGGUGAAAUGCGCAGAUAUCAGGAGGAACACCGAUGGCGAAGGCAGGUCUCUGGGCAUUAACUGACGCUGAGGAGCGAAAGCAUGGGGAGCGAACAGGAUUAGAUACCCCGGUAGUCCCUGUCUCUUAUAC
rnacentral:rRNA from 1 species